rnacentral:misc_RNA from 1 species
AUGCAGUGCUGGUCGAUUUAGCGAAGAUGAGGCAAGAUUUUUCUUCCAGCAGCUAAUAUCCGGAGUCAGCUACUGCCAUUCCAUGCAAAUUUGUCACAGGGAUCUGAAAUUGGAAAACACACUCUUGGAUGGAAGUCCUACACCACAACUUAAGAUAUGUGACUUUGGUUACUCCAAGUCCGCUUUAUUACACUCACAACCGAAAUCGACCGUUGGGA